rnacentral:lncRNA from 1 species
AAAUUUGAAAGAACUGAAAUUGACAAUAUUUGUAGAAAUUGAAAUAGAAGAGCUUAUCAUCCAUCAACUUCUGAGGACAUAAAAUAUUCAAAGAGUGGCAAUGGAAAGCCAAGAGUGCAAGAUUCGUAACCAGUCAGUACUUGAUCGAGUCCAUAUUAAAGGAGAAGAAAAAAUAUUAACAUUUCACGGCCAUGGAGCCUGAGGGCC